UACGAAGGGAGCUAGCGUUGUUCGGAAUUACUGGGCGUAAAGGGCGCGUAGGCGGCACUGUAAGUCAGAUGUGAAAGCCCUGGGCUUAACCUAGGAAUGGCAUAUGAUACUGCAGAGCUAGAGAACGAGAGAGGGAAGUGGAAUUACGAGUGUAGAAGUGAAAUUCGUAGAUAUUCGUAGGAACACCGGUGGCGAAGGCGGCUUCCUGGCUCGGACCUGACGCUAAAGCGCGAAAGCGUGGGGAGCAAACAGG
rnacentral:rRNA from 1 species